CAGUAGCCGCGGUAAUACGUAGGGUGCAAGCGUUAAUCGGAAUUACUGGGCGUAAAGCGUGCGCAGGCGGUUAUAUAAGUCAGAUGCGAAAUCCCCGGGCUCAACCUGGGAAUUGCAUUUGAGACUGUAUGGCUAGAGUGUGUCAGAGGGGGGUAGAAUUCCACGUGUAGCAGUGAAAUGCGUAGAUAUGUGGAGGAAUACCGAUGGCGAAGGCAGCCCCCUGGGAUAACACUGACGCUCAUGCACGAAAGCGUGGGGAGCAAACAGGAUUAGAGACCCGCGUAGUCCCUGUCUCUUAUAC
rnacentral:rRNA from 1 species